rnacentral:lncRNA from 1 species
CUUGUAUGUUUAAAGAGUAAGGUUGUGCUGACCAGGAAAGAGCACUGGGCUGUGAGUUUGGGAACUGGAGGUCACAGGUCUUGCCUUUGUCUUCCUUUUGUGAUCGAGAAGCCAUAGGGAUUCCACAUUGGCAGAAAGGUGCUAAAGACAACAAAUUAACACCUGGACCUUGAGGACUCCAUAACAGCAGGGACCGCACAUGUUU